CCGGGUCGCGGUCAUUUUGAGUCCGUAUUUGGGUGAGUUCUUGGAGGCCGAGUGACUGUCUGCUCCCCACCCCCCAACUCCGCUGCAGUGCCGCGCGGCUGCCGGUUUCCGCGCGCUUUUUUUCUUUCUUGACCCUUCUCGGGUCCCCUCGAGGCCUUGUGCCCCCGAUCGCCCCGGCUCGCCGCGCCGUCGCUCGCCGCUGUCGUCCGGAGGAAAAAUGAAUGGGAGGGCUGAUUUUCGAGAGCCGAAUGCAGAAGUUCCAAGACCAAUUCCCCACAUAGGGGCUGAUUACAUUCCAACAGAAGAAGAAAGAAGAGUCUUUGCAGAGUGCAAUGAUGAAAGCUUCUGGUUCAGAUCUGUUCCUUUGGCUGCAACAAGUAUGUUGAUUACUCAAGGAUUAAUUAGUAAAGGAAUCCUUUCAAGUCAUCCCAAAUAUGGUUCCAUCCCUAAACUUAUAUUUGCUUGUAUCAUGGGAUACUUUGCUGGAAAGCUUUCUUACGUGAAAACUUGCCAAGAGAAGUUCAGAAAUCUUGAGAAUUCCCCUCUGGGAGAAGCUUUACGCUCAGGACAGGCACGGCGAUCUUCACCAUCUGGGCACUAUUCUCAGAAGUCAAAAUAUGACUCAAAUUUGGGUGGUCAUUCAUCUUUUGUGACGUCUCCAGCCGCAGACAACAUAGAAAAAGAGAUGCUUCCUCAUUAUGAGCCAAUUCCAUUUAGUGCUUCUAUGAAUGAAUCUACUCCCACUGGUAUUACUGAUCAUAUUGCCCAAGAACUCUUGUCAAGUGAGAAAAUCCAUGUGAAAAUGCUUUGUGAAGUUUGUGUAAAUACUAGCUUUGAAGAUCGCAGAAUGACCUGAUCCCAACCCUGAAGAAAGUCCUAAGAGAAAAAAUAUUACAUAUGAGGAAUUAAGGAAUAAGAACAGAGAGUCAUAUGAAGUAACUUUAACACAUAAGACUGACCCCUCAGUCAGGCCUAUGCAGGAAAGAAUGCCCAAAAAAGAAGUCAAAGUAAACAAAUAUGGAGAUACUUGGGAUGAGUGAAAAAUUGCAUCAUUGGACCUACUGAAGGCAUUUCAAUAUCCAGCUUCAUCUAGGUGGUCAUGAAUAUCUGCAUGCUUUGAGCUCAGCAGCAGUCUUCAUAAACACAUUUAAAAUUAGAACCUGGGUUCUUGUGGUUUGGCUUAUUAAAAUGAUGUUUAAAAACAGA